AAAAAAGUUCUGCUUCUUCACUUCUUUUCAGCAGAAUUUUCAGUUUCUUUAAUGCCAUACAAUUUUUUGCAGCUUUUCAUCUUUUUCAGUCAUUUUCAGCAGACAGCUUCAGCGUUCCGGCAUCCACACAGCAUUUUCGCAGGAAAUGCAAACUUUUUCUAGUUCCUAAUAUGUCACAGGUGAACUUUGACAACUACCGAGCCAUUUUAUCCUUUGUGAACAUUGGAAAUGUACACUGGAAGUUUCUGUACAUAAAUGCAGAUGACAGCUGUCUGUAUUUGGUCGAUCCUUCAAGAAACUCUUUGGAGCAGGAAGAGUCUGACCGUGCAGCCAAAAGAUUCCGUGAAUACUUCAAAAUGAGAAGGACAUGCUACAACAAAACAGACUGGGUGAAUGUGAGACUUCGAGGAGGAGUACUGACACAUCCAUUUCAACGGGAUGGUUCUAGCUGCGGAGUAAUGGUCAUCAUGAUGGCCAAAGCAGUAAUGGAAGCAUUCCCAAAUAAACCAGAAAUGACAUUUUUGACGACAAAAAAAGAGAUGGCCCAGGCACGAAGGACAUUUGCACAGACAAUACUUGAGGCCUCAGUAUUUGACAGUGACACCAACUGUGCCAUGUGUGCAACAGCGAAACCACCCAAUCCAGGACCCUCCAUCACUGACUGGAUUCAGUGUGAUAACUGCAACUGCUGGUUCCAUUCUGAAUACCUGGACAUGACAAAUGAACAGCUCAGCAGCGCUCAGAAGACAGAGUGGAAGUGUGUGCUUUGUGUAACCUAAUUCCACAUGCAGUGAAAGCUACUAGAAUAAUCUGCUUAUAGUUAUUAUUGGUGUUUUGAGGAACACAUGUGUAAAACACAAUAUGUAUAACAUUCUUGCUUUGAGCACGUAUUUUAAGUAUUUCCUUUUUGAUUUUUUGGGUUGAUUUGUGUGAUGACAGAUAAUGAAUAACAAUAUAUCAAAACUGUAUAAUAGUAAUCUGAGAAAUCUGUAAUAUGAGAAAUGUAAUUUCUCACCCCGACCGGUCACAGCAGAUGGCCGCCCCUCCCUGAGCCUGGUUCUGCUGGAGGUUUCUUCCUGUUAGAAGGGAGUUUUU
ensembl:lncRNA